rnacentral:misc_RNA from 1 species
AAGAGAUACACAGUCCUCUUUUCCCGGCGUUGCAUCCACUUGCCUUCUUCGCCGUGACAACAUCAAAUUAAAGAAAAAGGCUGCGCAGCCUGCGCGGCUGCCGCUCUUGCACUGGCAGCUCUUUGCACUCUGUGUUUCCUUACUGCGGCGAGCUCCUCUCAGAUUCUCUCGGCUCCCCUCUCAGAAUUUUCGCGCGUCGUCUUCGCGUGUUCAAGCAACUUUCACCGGCUCACUGUUUGCUUCACGGCUCUUAUCGCACACACACACAUACAGACAUCCGCGUAGGCGACAGCAGAAAAUGGUGCAGCCGUUUCUCUGGAUUGCAGUCGUCGGCGCCUUUGUGUCGUUCCUGACCGGCGCCGGGGUAGGCAUGAAUGACCUUAGCAACGCCUUUGGAACGACCUACGGGGCGAAGGUGCUCACACUUUCUCAAAUCGUCCUUCUUGCAUCUGUUUGCGAAUUCGUAGGUGCAGUCAGCCUGGGCGGUGCAGUGACGGCGACUAUAUCAGGAGGUAUCGCCAAGCCCGCCGACUUCGAAGAUCACCCUUACAUGUUCAUGUACGGUAUGCUGUGCGCCUGCGGUGCCGCCUUCUGCUGGCUCGCCAUCGCAACAUGGCUGACGCUUCCGGUAUCCUCCACGCACAGCAUCUGCGGAGGCGUCAUAGGCUUUGCUCUGGUGUACGGCGGUGCUGACUCGGUGAGCUGGGCUGACAACCAGGACGAGUUCCCGUUUGUGAACGGAGUAGCGCCGAUCGUCGCCUCAUGGUUCAUUUCGCCGCUCCUCACCGGUGUCGUGGCAGCCGCCAUCUUCGGCUCUGUUCGGUGGUUUGUGCUUCGACAUGCAAACUCGGUGCAGCGAGCCAUCCUGACGCUUCCGAUUGUUGUCACCAUCACGUUUUUCCUGGAGGCCUUCUUUGUCCUCUUCAAGGGUGCCCAGAGUCGCCUGCACUGGGAUAUGUACCACGCAGCGUGGGUGGCCAUGUGGAUUGCCGCUGGCGCUGGUGUGCUUUCGUGUGGCUUUGUCCCGCUGUUGAAGCGGCGUGUAAAGAAGAUGGAGCAGCGGGCGACGGUGCUCGCACACCGGCAUGGCCACGCGCUAGGCGGUGUCGACGACGAGAUGGCGCAUCGUGGAUGUUUUGAUGAGCUGCCAGUCGAUCCCCACUCCACAGAAUGGCGCGAGGCUGGCGAGCCUGCGCGCGCCGCUCCAGCGCCGUCGGCACUGCCACUCUCACCACCGUCUUCAACCUACGCCUCGGCACAGAGCCGCCGCGCCGACGGCAGCUGCGACAAGGUGGAGGGAUCCCCUGGCACGGUGGUGCGCGAAGACGACGGUGCAGAGAACAGUGCCGUUAUUUCGCUAGGAGAGCUACAGGUCGUGACUGCGAGUGGAAUGGAGGUGCAGCUGUACAACACGCACGCCGAAAUGGUGUACCGCUACCUACAGGUUCUCACUGCCAUCUGCGCGUCUUUCGCACAUGGUGCGAGUGACGUCAGCAACGCCGUCGGUCCGCUCGCCGCCAUCAACUCCGUGUACCAGACAGGAGCGGUGCAGACAACAACGUCGAUUCCCACAUGGAUUCUGUGCCUGGGCGGCGCUGGUCUUGUUUUUGGAUUGGCCACCUUUGGCGCUCGCCUCAUGCGCCUCCUUGGCGAGCAGAUCACUGUCAUCACACCCAGCCGAGGCUUCUCGGCGGAACUGUCCGCAGCCUUGGUGGUGUCUUUUGCUUCUGGCUAUGGAAUCCCUGUGUCAUCCACGCACUGCAUCACGGGAGCUGUUGUCGGAAUCAGUAUGCUAGACGUUGGGCUUCUGAACGUUCGCUGGUGGAUGGUGCUCAAGAUGUACGGAGGAUGGGCCUGCACUCUUGUCUUGACCGCGGUUGUGUCUGCCGUCUUCUUUGCUCAAGGUAUCAAUGCCCCUUCUCGAUGACACGCCGGUUUCUCUCGCAGGAUCAGAGGAGCCAGCGCGGCUGCAAACGCACACACGCACAGCCCCAAAGCGGUUCUUGCCUUGCGUGUGCAGGCCUGUUGGCUCCGCUUCUCCUGCGCUAUUUUCAGUUCUGCAUCGGCGAAUGGCCACACCUUUGCCACGGUACACCCCGACGUCUCUUUCCUCGAUUGUUUUGCUUCCGUUCAUCAAGUGUGUACCCGGAUGACGGUGGGGACAGCCAGUGCGUGGCAUCACAGGGCUGCGUUUAUUUUCAGUCUGUGGGGAAGCAAAGCAGCCCUGCUAUCCCCCCCCCUACCGAUGCGGAGCCACCUCUGAUGGUGACAGGGCCAAGCACCUACGGCGUAGGGGGAGGCCGGAGCUAUGCACCGCUGCUGAUGCCGGCGGUGAUGUGGAGGAUGGCGUUGCUCCGGAGCGACCUGCGACCGUGGACACGUGUGUGCCGCCGAUACGAUGGGCGAAGUGUCAGCGCGACUGCAGCGCAUCUCACCCGGCCCUGACUGUGCUGGUGGUGAGGGGAGCCUGAGCGCCCGCCCACGGCUGCACCGCGUGCUGGUUGGGACAAUGCGAGCGUCUGCGAGGCGACCUGCGGGGCGGAUGUGGGUGGGUCGAGCUUGAGGCGGAUGCCGUGCUCAGAUGACUGAGUGGGCGCGUUGCCGUGGCGUGUGUGUGUGUGUGCGGCUGCUUGGCACCACGCGAUGGGGCCCUGUGAGAAUGGCGGGCGGUGCAGCGGACCUGAGCUCAUUCCCUAUAGCGGAAUGGUGGUGCUGCCAGAAAAGUAAGGCGUUUGUGUUUACUGGUAUCUACACCCGUGCUGCACCUUAUCACUACUGUUUGUCUCUGUUGCGUCUGUCUGUUCUGUGUUAUUACAUCUGUGCUGGUCACCUUGGUUGCGCUGUGGUGUGCGUGUAUGUGUGUGUAGGGGCGGAGGGGGAAGGGUGACAGAGAUGACUUGCUCCGCCUGAGAAGGCGGGCUCGAAGGACAGUAUUCGGUGGUUUAUGCCCGUUCACCCUUUUGCAUCCCGCUGUAAUGCCUCCCUCUCUCUCGUAGCCACUUUUUGCCUAUUCCCCCUUCGUUUUUCUUUCAUGUGUUCGUUUCUUUCUCUGUAGAUGUGAUGCACUGACUUUUCUGUUUUGUUGCCCGUUGCGUCUGCCCAUAGUCGUAUCGCUCCGUCGAGUAUAAUCUUUUGUCUUCUCCGCGAACACGCUGACGCCCUCACCGGAUAUGCCGUUCUUUCCUCUGUCGCUGAGAUACAAGCUCGAAAGACGUUUAUCCGACAAGGACAGUUGAUGGGGAGAUGGCUUGGCUGUGUUGUGCUCACACCUUACUCGUCUUCGUUGCCAACGGGAGCUGCUGCUUCUCUCUGCUUUAUCAGCCCCUUAUUUCUCGCGCCUUCGAUUUUGUUUUUUCUUUUCUCGAGCCAUCUAACUUUUGGCCAUGAGCUGAACGCUGGUAUAUUGUGCAGCUCUACCUGCCCUGUGACUGGAACGGCGUGGGAGUCUACGGCACACACAUUGGGAGGUAUCACAAGCACCUCAGAAGCGUAUUUGCGUGCCCACACACGACGACAUGGCACUAGUCUCCCUUUCGCGAUUGCCCCGCCUUCUCAAACGUCUGAGUAUCGCGAUCCCACUAACGUUGCCAGCGUUUUUUUUUUUGCAGGGGAUGCUGUGCCCCGUAUGACCCGCACAUUGGUUGCGCGGAGAUCCAAUGACACGCACCGGCGCGCUCCUCUGCUGUUUUCAUGUCUUUGCAGAAUCCUUUGAACGCGAUCGCCUCUGUGUGCACCGAACGGUGAUCCUCUCCACAUUUGCUCCCUCGCGCUCCCCCAUCGCUCUGUGUCCUUUUCUUUCACGUGCCCUUCGAACCUUCCCACGCUACAAUGCAAG